rnacentral:rRNA from 1 species
UACGAAGGGGGCUAGCGUUGUUCGGAAUUACUGGGCGUAAAGCGCGUGUAGGCGGGUCUUUAAGUCAGGGGUGAAAUGCCAAGGCUCAACCUUGGAACUGCCUUUGAUACUGGAGACCUUGAGUCCGGGAGAGGUGAGUGGAAUUGCGAGUGUAGAGGUGAAAUUCGUAGAUAUUCGCAAGAACACCAGUGGCGAAGGCGGCUUACUGGUCCGGUUCUGACGCUGAGGCGCGAAAGCGUGGGGAGCAAACAGG